GAGGAGGCUGUCAACAUCUCGGAGUUCUUCCCAUGUGCAAGGCAGGGUGCUGAGCCUGUGAUGCGUAUGUAUGAAGCCGUGUCAUGCUCACCACUCCCCUAUUGAGCAGUGUGCGAUCCCCAACCUCUGAUGUUACACGGAACCAGCUACCCAACGAGUUGUUUUUUACAUUUCCCUUUUGGUGUUCUAUUUAUCUGGCCUUAAACAGGCCUGGCUGAGAAUAUUUAAAAUCAGAGAACGCACGGCUGGACACAAGGCAAACCGUAUUCCACACGCGCAUUUGCUUAGGAGCAGAGUUCAGCAACGUGACGCUGCCUCCCAAGGGCUUGGGUUGUUCCCCCAUCCUCUCUCCACGACUCCGUCCCACCUUCCCAGUACUUAAAAGACGACGGCAGUAACCAACAAUGAAUGCCCCAGCUCAGGAGAGCAGCUUUGUGACCGGAAGGCCACGGCUUCCAGGAGCCUGAGGAGGGAAGGUCAGCCCUGAGGAGGGAACAGCACAAGCCAGGCUCGCGUGUUGACAUGAAGGGUUCUCUGAGCCCAGCCUGAGCAAAUACUAACACACACCGCCUGUGCUGGCUACUGUCUAGCAGCCACUGGUCCCGAAACUCCACACAGUCAGGCCAUCUCUGAAGCCGCCAACACGCACCUACCUUCUGGGCAAGAACACGAAUCUGUCAUUUGCACUCGUGUAUUUGCAAUCGGUGCGAACACUCACAGUCUCUAUGCUGCAUGUGGGGAACACGCAGCCAUUUCAACUAUGAAAAAAAAGAAGACGGCAGACAACAGUUUAAAAAAAGGAGACCAGGAGCAUCAUAUUUCACUGAGUAAAUUGACAAAAGGUCAAAAAGCUUGAUCUUGGCCACUGAUGUGCUUGGUCUGAAAGCUAAACUGCCACUUAAAUAUUCAUAGGCAAGCGCGGUAGCUGCAGCCUCCGGUUGCCCUGAGUCCACAGAGGAGCAAGGCUGGGGCCAUUUUAUGAGAAAAAACAAGCUCCCUCCCGAGCCGGGUUCUGGGCAGGAGAGGACUCUGCUCCUGCAACCAGCCCGCACCCGCUGAGCCUUCGUUGCUGUGUCCUGUAUCCCAGAAGAAUGGUCACUCUGUCACCAUGGCUGGAGUAGUGGCACAAUCUCGGCUCAUUGCAACCUCCACCUCUUAGGCUCAAGCAGUCCACCUGCCUCAGCCUUCCAAAGUGCUGUGAUUACAGGCGUGAGCCACCACGCCCAGCCCAUUCUUUUACUACGUCUUCAAAAAUCUUAACAUGACACAUUUCUGUUCAGUCAAGCCACAGUUCCAGAGCUCGAUGGCCACAGGUGGCUCCUGUGUCUACGAGACAGGCAGAGGGCCAGGCUAGUGCUGCACCAUGCAUUCAGGAAGGGAGCAGGAACCUCCUCUCUUCAUUCUCUACCCUUCUCUCUGGAAUCUCAUGGGAAUCUCCUCUCGGUGACUGUUCUUAUUGCCACGUGAACAACGGACCAAGGAGGAUGGAGGUCUCUGAGGAGGGGCAGGAUUCUGGUGGGAACCGUAUGAGGGGAAACUGGGAGACAGGCAUGGCCUGAAAUGGGGUCGUGAAUAUGGAGAAAUCUGGACGAAGCUGGAGCCUCAGGGUUGGAAGAGUUGCGGUCUCUGGGCUGGUGAGCACAGACUCCAGCUGCCUUGAACUCUGGGGCCCAUGACAGAAACUACUCUCCUGCCCCAUGCUGGAGGCUGC
ensembl:lncRNA novel transcript